rnacentral:rRNA from 2 species
GCCUCAAAUCGGGUGAGACUACCCGCUGAACUUAAGC